UACGGAGGGAGCUAGCGUUGUUCGGAAUUACUGGGCGUAAAGCGCGCGUAGGGGGAGUACCAAGUGAGGGGUGAAAUCCCGGGGCUCAAGCCCGGAACUGCCUUUGAAACUGAUAGGCUAGAAUCUUGGAGAGGCGAGUGGAAUUCCGAGUGUAGAGGUGAAAUUCGUAGAUAUUCGGAAGAACACCAGUGGCGAAGGCGACUCGCUGGACAAGUAUUGACGCUGAGGUGCGAAAGCGUGGGGAGCAAACAGG
rnacentral:misc_RNA from 1 species